rnacentral:rRNA from 1 species
GACGAACGCUGGCGGCGUGCCUAAUACAUGCAAGUCGAGCGAAGCGGCGGAUGGGUGAGUAACGCGUGGGUAACCUGCCCUUAAGUCAGGGAUACCAUUUGGAAACAGAUGCUAAUACCGGAUACUACAGGAUGGACCUGCGAUGCAUUAGCUAGUUGGUAAGGUAACGGCUUACCAAGUCGAUGAUGCAGUGCCGAGUUGUGAGCCUGUUCGUCCCCAUUGUGAUUUAUCCACGUCCCAACCCCCUCCGGGAGGCAUCAGCAUGGAAUCUUCCACAAUGGACGAAAGUCUGAUGGGGCAACGCCGCGUGAUUGAAGAAGGUUUUCGGAUCGUAAAGCUCUGUUGUUGGUGAAGCGGUAAUCAACCAGAAAGUCACGGCUGACUACGUGCCAGCAGCCGCGGUAAUUC